rnacentral:rRNA from 1 species
UGGGGUAUAUUGGACAAUGGGGGAAACCCUGAUCCAGCCAUGCCGCGUGAGUGAUGAAGGCCUUAGGGUUGUAAAGCCCUUUCACCGGGGAAGAUGAUGACAUUACCCGGAGAAGAAGCGCCGGCUAACUCCGUGCCAGCAGCCGCGGUAAGACGGAGGGCGCUAGCGUUGUUCGGAAUCACUGGGCGUAAAGGGCGCGUAGGCGGCUAUUUAAGUCGAGGGUGAAAGCCCGGGGCUCAACCCCGGAACGGCCUUCGAGACUGGGCAGCUCGAGACCGGAAGAGGAGGGUGGAAUACCCAGUGUAGAGGUGAAAUUCGUAGAUAUUGGGUGGAACACCAGUGGCGAAAGCGGCUCUCUGGUCCGGAUCUGACGCUGAGGCGCGAAAGCGUGGGGAGCAAACAGGAUUAGAUACCCGGGUAGUCC